rnacentral:misc_RNA from 1 species
CAGCCGGCAUUGCCGUCGUGUUAUUGGUGACGUAGCGUCGCGGACAUCUCUCGUUCUCGUGCUGCCAAGGACGAUUGUCGCAGGCUUUUCCAUCAAUAAAGAACACGAGAGUGAAUCCCAUACAAAACUCAUCUCGGCACCACCGCUUUUUUUUUCCUUUUCGUAGCGCUGACCAGUCGGCUCCGCUGUCGCGUGCCGUGCAGCACUGGCUCAUUGCGACUUUGCACCCUUUGAGCAAGGCCAAUGGCAUCGUCGUCGCCUCAAGUCAAGAUGGACAGCGCUAUCCGCGCUACUGAUGAGUAUGCUGCCGCCUUCGACCUUGAAGUGUGGAAGGCGCAACAGCAGCUCCGAUACCAGGCACAGCUGCGCCAGGCGAAGGAGCGGCUGGAACGCCGCCUGCACAAGGAGGCACGAGAGUCGGAGAAGAAAAAGAUGGCGGAGCUGGAGCGGCUUCGCCAAGAGCUAGAGACGAUGGGGCACCGCCUACAGGUGGCCAGUGAGACAUUGGAAAAGCGCACCGCUCAACUGGAUGCUCGCGAGGCUGCUUUCAAUGUGAAACGAGUGAAAGUGGCAGAGCAGCAUGAGGCGUACGUCGCCCGCGCUGAAGAGCAGGCGCGCCGCACCCGUGAGGAGGCCCAGCUUGCCCAAUCCAGCCUUCAAGCAAGAUUGCAAGAGAAGGACCGCAUCAUUUUGCAGCUGCAGGAGCGAGUAAGCUCGGCGCAGCAAGAGUACGAUCUGCUCCGGCGACGCGCGACGCGUUACCUAUCUGAGCAGAACGACACAGACGGUCAGCGACUUCGGGAGCAGGAGUGCGCGCUGAGUCUUUCGCAGACACAGCUGGCGGAGGCGCAGCGCCAGCUGCGAGAGAAAAGCGCGGAUGUGGCUCGCCUGGCAGAGUCGCAGGCAAGCUUAGAGCAGCAGCUGCACGAGCUCAAGCGGCAGCUCUCAAUCGUCAUGCGCAAAUACCAUCGUCUUCGAGAGGAGUGCCAGGCGCGCGAGUGGGAGCGUCUGCGCAAGGAACAGGGGGCUCUGAGCCCAACGAAGCGAAGACAGUCCCUACAUGCGCAUCGGCUACAGCAACCGCAGCAGCCGUUGAGUGCACCUUUUCUGCCAAGUGGCUUUAUCAAAGGUGACGCAUCUACAACAGCGGGGAACAUAGCCAGCGGCGUUGCAGAGCGAGAUGACUUUUACGCAAUGUUGACAGAGCUGAAACAGGAGGUGGCGGCUGGGCUAGCGGCGGUCAACCGAACCUCACGGCCAGGGCCCCAUCCCUUCACAAUUGUCGAGAGACCUGCAGGGACUCUUCACUCGACCGUCCACGACACCAGCUGCCACUCCCACGCUUCCCCGCAGGCACGCACGUGCGCCACUUCCAUCACCGCUGGGGAGAGCGCUGGCGACCCUACAACAGGUGUCCCUUCCCGUCAGGACACCACACUAGAGACGUCCUCUGUCUCUGCUGUUUCGUGCAAUUUGCAGAGGAAGUCGCCACCACAUGCGCAGCGGAGGCCGCAAGUGGGUGAUUCAGGCGCUGAGACAAGCGUUGUGGUGGACAUGGGGGACACUUCUAUCGACAGCGCCUAUCCUCUAAUUGACUUGCCGCCCUGGACGACAUCCAUGAUCGCGGACGAGGAGGACGGCGUUGCCUCACUGCCGUCUGUGCGCGCCAGUACCCUUCCCCCACUCGCCCCGGCGCAGCGCGGCCUCGAGGAGGCGCUACCCGACACUGCUUAUCCACCACACAUCUCACCAACGCCAGAGGAGUUUGUGCUCGCCAGGGAUGCACCGCUGGAUGACACGUCGAGCGCCGCGAAGUCGGCAGCGGCACGGCGUGACAUGGAGACAUUUGUGCAACAGCUGAAAAUGAAUCGCGAGAAGCUCUUGGAGACCGGCGUGUACUCGGAGGAUGAUCAGGUGGUGAAGGAGAUGGGGGAGAAGAUACGCAUGUACGAGCAGUACUUGGCCCAGCAGCGGCAGUGACAGCUUGGAAGCAUGAAACCGGUAAAGCGGACGUCAUUGAAGAUCAGCAGCCUUUCAGGCGCUGCCAGGCCACCCCCAGCCCAAGAAGUCUACAGGUGCUAUGCCGAAGGAGGCGGCUUUUCAUCGUUGUGUCACUACUCCCUUCCCCCACACACCUCAUGCUGUUGUUCUCUUUUUUUUUUUGGCAUUACGUAAGUGCACGUGGCGUUGCCUGCAGUGCCCGCCUCAUUCCCGCUGAACCCUUUAGACAAGACACUUAG